AGAGUUGAUCCUGGCUCAGGAUGAGCGCUGGCGGCGUGCCUAACACAUGCAAGUCGAACGAAGCAUACGGGACGGAGAUUCGUCGAAAUCCGGUAUGACUUAGUGGCGGACGGGUGAGUAAUGUAUGAGCAACCUGCCUUUCAGAGGGGGACAACAGUUGGAAACGACUGCUAAUACCGCGUAAUGUAUAAGGAUGGCAUCGUCUUUAUACCAAAGGAGCAAUCCGCUGAAAGAUGGGCUCAUAUCUGAUUAGCUUGUUGGCGGGGUAACGGCCCACCAAGGCGACGAUCAGUAGCCGGACUGAGAGGUUGAACGGCCACAUUGGGACUGAGAUACGGCCCAGACUCCUACGGGAGGCAGCAGUGGGGAAUAUUGGGCAAUGGGCGAAAGCCUCGACCCAGCAACGCCGCGUGAAGGAAGAAGGUCUUCGGAUUGUAAACUUCUUUUAUGAGGGACGAAGGACGUGACGGUACCUCAUGAAUAAGCCACGGCUAACUACGUGCCAGCAGCCGC
rnacentral:rRNA from 1 species